CGGACGGGUGAGUAACGCGUGGGCAACCUGCCUUACACAGGGGGAUAACACUUAGAAAUAGGUGCUAAAACCGCAUAAGCGCACAGCUUCGCAUGAAGCGGUGUGAGAAACUCCGGUGGUGUAAGAUGGACCCGCGUCUGAUUAGCUUGUUGGCGGGGUAACGGCCCACCAAGGCGACGAUCAGUAGCCGGCCUGAGAGGGCGGACGGCCACAUUGGGACUGAGACACGGCCCAGACUCCUACGGAAGGCAGCAG
rnacentral:rRNA from 1 species